GCGUAACAAGGUCUCCGUUGGUGAACCAGCGGAGGGAUCAUUA
rnacentral:rRNA from 3 species